AAGCAAACAAGCCAGCUGUACCACUCUGCUCCUCUGGCCCCUACUUCCCUCUCCCUCAUGUCAGGUUUCCAGCCUGAAUCAGCCUGGCUGGGGAAGUAGAGGAAGGGGAAAUAUUUGCCUCAAAUGAAGUUCAGAGUUUUAACUAUUACAUGGGACUGGACAUUUCAGUGACUGAAAUGAGACUAUUUUAUGACUAAAAGUGACUUUUUUUUCUAAGGGUGUCUGAAAAAACUACAGGGACCUACCUGAGAAACCAGCUUCUGAGCAGAGAGAGCAGGAAUGAAAGUGAAGCUGUUUUAUGAUCACACCCUAUCAAGGCUACCUUUUUUUUUUUUUUUUUAACAUAAUGGCUAUACAAGUUUGCUCCAAAGAGGACAGACAGCCUCUUUCCCAACCUCUAAUAAGCCAACCACUAUUGCCCUAAAAAGGUUCUGCAGGACUUCAGAAAUUUCCAUCCAAGCAUAUCCAAGCUGGAAAAACACCCUGCAGGCUUUAAGAAACUUGUCAACCACAAAGGACACAGGAGCCAAACAGGAAAAUAAUAGCAUGGUUUCACAUCUCUUUGGGGGGUCUUCUUAUUUUGAAUAUUCCAUGAGAUUCCUCAGACAGGAAGUUCUAGAGCUAGCUUUACCAGAGGAGGAAAAAACCCAACAACAAUGCUGGCUCAUCCAACUGGUCAAAACCAUGGAGAAAUCAAACCAUACCAAAGAUGCAACAAAUUCUAAAAAGUCACUCACAAGGCAGUUCCUUGUAUUUUCUGAGACUUAUAUCCUAGGAGGCAUGCCAAGGAACCUUUGGGUGAAUUCCAGAAACACUGCACCUUGGGAGUGGCAGGCAGACACCAGCUACAGCUAGAGCCCCUGUCAGUCUCUCUGCUGAGAGCAGUAAUGUCCUCAAACCAAUCUCUGAUACAAGUUAUAGGUUGAGGAAAAAAUUAGCUUCAGGGACCAUGUGCAUACACAAUUUCAGUGUAAGCUAUGCUAUUUAUUUCUAACCACAGUGAAUGGGUGCAUUUACUAAUGCAAUAGGCGCAUUACCAUCAUUUUUCCCUCCAUAAUAUCUCCAAGUAUCUUAAAACAUAUGUGAUGAAGAGGGGCUUACGGAGUUACAGGUGCCGAUGAUUUCAACAUUCCUUCAAAAUCUACCGUUUACCUGUAUAUGAUAACCUAUCAUACUGGGAUGGGUGAUUUUUUAAAUCACUAGGGUACCUGUAAAGAGCAGAUGUCAGGCUGCUUACGUGGAAUCCCUGCAGGACUACCAUAGUAGAGACUGCAUGGGCUCAAGCAGCCAAGGAAUUCCUGUACAAUAACCAGCAUAUGCAAAAAGGGGGGAAAUUCAGCAACUUGGGCUAAAAAUGAACUUGGAUCUGAAUAACUAGAGAGGAAGAAUUCAAAAAUUGAAUCCUAUGUUUCAGUAUUUCUCAAACUUGAGUGUGUAGAGUAAUUACCUGGGGGUUUUGUUAACAUGCAGGUUCUGAUUUAGAAGGUCUGGGGAUGGGCCUGAGAGUCUUCAUUUCUAACAACUUUCCAGGGGAUGCUGACUCUUACUGAAGGGAAUAAGUUGAAGACAGACAAGAGGGAAAAAUGGAAUGACAUGGAGGAUCGGAAGGCCAAUACUCACCCCUGGUCAUGCUCCGAGGCCACUUCCGGGGGAGUACUUUUAGAUUCUUUAGCAGCUAAAUCUUCUUGGAGGAGGCAGAUGCAGAAUCCCCGCAGGAGAACAGUACCACCCCAUUUAUCUUGGAUCUGUGUGGCGUGGAGUCAGGAGUAGGGUGUCCCCUACAUUUGGAGGACAAUGUCAUGGCUCCUGGCUAGUGAAACCCUAGCAGCAGUGACAGCAGUGUUCUAGGAAAGUGGAGUACUCCAAGGCGUGGAAUGGAUGAACAAUGGCAAACGCCACACAGGAAUUCAUGGAUUGCAUGCAUGAGACAUCACUGCUGAGACUGAGACUCACUGAAAGAACUUGCACAAAAUCAACUUUUAAAAGGCAGGCCAGGUCUACUGGAACCCAGGUCUUUAAGCCUUGAAAGACAAUGCAGCAUGCCUGGAAAAAGAAAAGGUUUUGGGAGCAGACACCUGAGCUCAGUGUUGCCGCAGGACUCCAUGCUAGCCCUGGGCCACAGGUACUUCAGCUCACACUGGACUUGGAGCCCGACCCCACCCAGCUUCCCACUGCCAUCUGGUGGUCAUCCGGAGCCCAGGGCCCAGCUCCUGAUGGGCCUUCAUCAGCAAUCUCCUUCAGAGUGCUGCAAAGCCUGUGGGCAACCCUACUUCCGCCCCUGAAAAAGUUGGCAUGAGAGAGAAAGGCCCAAUAUCUUGCCUCCAAUGGUGGCAGAGAAGUAUGAGCACAAAAAUCCAGAUAAUGUGCCAAACACAAAAAUCAGGACUUUGUAAGAAACAACACCGAAGCUGCUGAUGCCUCAAAUCCUGCCUUCCACUGGUAUGUUGGAUCUGGUCACCCAUGAACACAGACAUCAAAGCAAUACCCAUAUGUCUGGUGAUCAUGGACAGCAUGCAACUGAUUGUGGAUGAUAGCUGGGCAAAUGGUGAUAUCCAAAUGUCAAUGGGUACUCACUGAAGGAGCAGAAAUAAUAUGGAAGGAUGUACAGGUAAUAUCAGAGUGAACAUUGGAUAAUAAUUUAGUUUUUGAGAUAAUAUCUAAAUUCCUAGGUGGGUGAGAGUAAUACAUAUUUUUGUGGACAAAGUCUGAGAAGGGUUUAACUACGUGUCUGUAGAUAAUGCCUGACUGAGAGUGGGCAAAUUUAGACUGUGCAGAGGUAAUAUGUCUGCGGAUAACAUCUUGUUUUGUAGAUAACAUCUUCAGAAAAUGUGGAUUAUAUUCAGAGGUCUGAACUGAAUGGGGGAAUAUCCAAAUGAUGAUGGUAGUAGCUGAGUAAGCAGAAAGUAAUAUUCAAGUAUGUGUAGGCAAUAUUUAGGUGAGCAUGGAUGUGAGAUGUUAACAUGUUGAGAUGUGAAGUGAGAGAUCAAUCUGACUGAGUAAAAUAACUCAGUGCCUGAGUGAACACACGUGAUAUCUGAGUCUUUGUGGUUAAUAUCUGAAUGUGUGAGACUAACAACCAUGAUUUUAUGGGUGAUAUCUGGAAAAAGUUAAGUGAGCAUGGGUGAUAUCUAUGUGUGGAUGAUAAAAUGAAAGCAAGUGUGUCUGAUGGGUGAGUGACAUCUAAAUGACUAUGGGCAUUGUUAAAGUAACUGUGGGUGAUACCUGGUUUUCAGUGGUGGCAUCUGAGUGAACAUUAGCACUCUGGUCUAUGUGGGUAACAUAUAAGAAUAAUGUGGGUAACAUCCAUAUUUCUACUGGUAACACUGGAGUGAGCCUGGCUAACAUGUAGUAUCUGAGUGAGUGGCAAACAGUCUUUGUGGGUAACUUCUGACUGCCUGGGUAACAUCCACUCUGUGUAGGUAACAACAUCCAGAUAAGCAAGGCCAAUUCUUGCACCUGUGCUCUGAAUCACUUCAUGUUCUGCUUUCUCAGGGUCCCCUGCUCUGCGGACUGUCCCUGCUCUCUGCUGAGCCUUUGAGCUUCCUUUCCUCUGUCUUGGCCCAUGCUGCAUCAACAUUUUAAAAAGACUCUUGCCUCUACUGCACACACAUAUACCCAAAGACAACCCCCACCACAUACCAUUCCUCAAUCCCAUGCCCUUUCUGGCACUAUCCUAUUUUUUCUUUGCUUCUCUCUCCCUCCCAAAUUUCUGGAAAGUUUCAUCUACACACCCUGGUUCACUUCUCAUAACCUCCUCAUGCAUCCUCCCAAACCUCAGCCAACUGUAGUCAGGCCUUAAUACCCACAACUCCUCUUAAGGACUUCUUUGUUACUGGAUCUGAAGGAUGCUGUUCUGUCCUUAUUCGACUUAUAUCAACACCAUAUGACAUCACUUAUCCCACCCUGCUUGAAAUCUUUCCCUUGCCUUGUCCCUCUGAUGGUUUCAUCAUGGGCUCUCCAUCUUUUGCCUGGCUUUUAAAUCUCAGUCUUUUUCAGGGUCCUGCCCCGGGACCUGUUUUCUUUUCAUCUUGUCAUCUUUGUAUGAUUGUAGCUAUUCCUGUGGCUUCCAUUACCUUCUGUAGGCAAAGACCUUUUAAGUCUGUAUUCCCAGCUUGCACCCCUCCCCUAAGUUCCUGACCACCAGAUUCAACAGCUUACUGGCUACCCCCACCUAGGUAUCUCAACAGCACUUAAACUCAGUGGGUUCCAAAGUGAAUUUAUAGUUCUUCUCUUUCAAAUUUGUUUCUGUUCCUUUGUUAUCUUUCUCAUGAUAUAGCACCAACAUCCAUCUAAUUGUCCAAGCCAGACACCUGGAUGUCAUCCUUUGACCUCUUCCUCCCUCUCCAUUUCUAAUGAAUCCCUACCAAGUUCUGUUGAUUCCACUUCCAGAAGUGCCUCUCGAAUCCAUCCACUUCUCUCCAUCCUCACUGCCAAAACCUUAGUCCAAGCCCAUAUCAUCUUUUAUCAGAGAAACAGAAUAGCCUUCUAAAGUGUCCACCCCAUCCCCCACCCUUUCAUGUCUUGUCCUCCAAUCCAUCUUCUACACUUUAGAACUAAUCCUGGCUGUACUACGGAGUCUUUCAGUAGUUCCCAUCAUCCUCAGGAUAAAAAUCUACACUCCUUAGCCAGGUCUGUGAGGCUCUUUUGUAAACCCUCUAGGUUGGUGCUCAUCCUGAGUAUUCAUUUUUCCUCUCUUUUGAUGUAUGUUUCAGGCACUCAGAAACUGACACACUGAACGAAAGUACCAUGGAUUUUAACUUUGGGUGUUUUACACAUAUUGUUCCUCUGCUUAGAAUGCUUCUUGCCUUUCCUGCCCCUUCGCUUGUCUGGCUUUCCCUUGUCUUUUUAAAUUUUUCUUCAAUUACCUUCUCAGGAGGCCCACUUUGACCCCCAAGGCUAAGCUAGACUAAAGCUCCUCUUCUGUGUUCCCACAGCCUUAAUCUAAGGCACAUCCCACUUUGUGCUGCAAUUCCCUGCUUACUUGUCUGGCUCUCCCACUAAACUGUGAACUCCAUGAAAUAGGAACUGUGUUCAUUUUUUCUCUGGUUCAAUAAAUAUUUGUAGAAUGAAGCAAUCUAAGUGAGAGUGUGUAAAAACUGGUCUGAGAAAGCAUAUACAUUAUUUUGUGGGAUAAAUACUCAAAUUAAAAUUUAUUGCCAUUUUCCCUUC